GGGGAUGUAGCUCAAUUGGUAGAGUACUUGCUUAUCAAGCACGAGGUCCUGGGUUCCAUCCCCA
rnacentral:tRNA from 1 species